CUCUGUGACUCCUACGGGAGGCAGCAGUGGGAAUAUUGCACAAUGGGGGAAACCCUGAUGCAGCAACGCCGUGUGAGUGAAGAAGGUUUUCGGAUCGUAAAACUCUGUCCUAAGGGAAGAAACAAAUGACGGUACCUUAGGAGGAAGCCCCGGCUAACUACGUGCCAGCAGCCGCGGUAAUACGUAGGGGGCAAGCGUUAUCCGGAAUCACUGGGCGUAAAGGGUGCGUAGGCGGCUUAGCAAGCCAGGGGUGAAAGGCAUUGGCUCAACCAAUGUAAGCCUUUGGAACUGUUAAGCUUGAGUGCAGGAGAGGUAAGUGGAAUUCCUAGUGUAGAGGUGAAAUUCGUAGAUAUUAGGAGGAACACCAGUGGCGAAGGCGACUUACUGGACUGUAACUGACGCUGAUGCACGAAAGCGUGGGUAGCGAACAGGAUUAGAUACCCUGGUAG
rnacentral:rRNA from 1 species